AGGGUUUGAUCAUGGCUCAGAACGUACGCUGGCGGCACGCCUAACACAUGCAAGUCGAACGAAGUAGCAAUACUUAGUGGCAGACGGGUGAGUAACAUGUGGGUAUCUGCCCUUUGGCCUGGAAUAACACGAGGAAACUUGUGCUAAUACCGGAUAAGUCUUUACGGAGAAAGCUUUAUGCACCAUUGGAUGAGCCCGCACUUGAUUAGUUUGUUGGUGGGGUAAUGGCCUACCAAGACUGUGAUCAAUAGCUGAUUUGAGAGGAUGAUCAGCCACAUUGGGACUGAGACACGGCCCAAACUCCUACGGGAGGCAGCAGUGGGGAAUCUUGCACAAUGGAGGAAACUCUGAUGCAGCGAUGCCGCGUGAGUGAAGAAGGCCCUUGGGUUGUAAAGCUCUUUCGUCGGGGAAGAAAAUGACUGUACCCGAAUAAGAAGGUCCGGCUAACUUCGUGCCAGCAGCCGCGGUAAUACGAAGGGACCUAGCGUAGUUCGGAAUUACUGGGCUUAAAGAGUUCGUAGGUGGUUGAAAAAGUUGGUGGUGAAAUCCCAGAGCUUAACUCUGGAACUGCCAUCAAAACUUUUCAGCUAGAGUUUGAUAGAGGAAAGCAGAAUUUCUAGUGUAGAGGUGAAAUUCGUAGAUAUUAGAAAGAAUACCAAUUGCGAAGGCAGCUUUCUGGAUCAUUACUGACACUGAGGAACGAAAGCAUGGGUAGCGAAGAGGAUUAGAUACCCUCGUAGUCCAUGCCGUAAACGAUGUGUGUUAGACGUUGGAAAUUUAUUUUCAGUGUCGCAGCGAAAGCAUUAAGCACACCGCCUGGGGAGUACGACCGCAAGGUUAAAACUCAAAUGAAUUGACGGGGACCCGCACAAGUAGUGGAGCAUGUGGUUUAAUUCGAAGAUACGCGCAGAACCUUACCAACACUUGACAUGUUCGUCGCGACUCUGAGAGAUCAGAGUUUUCGGUUCGGCCGGACGAAACACAGGUGCUGCAUGGCUGUCGUCAGCUCGUGUCGUGAGAUGUUGGGUUAAGUCCCGCAACGAGCGCAACCCUCACUUUUAGUUGCCAUCAUUAAGUUGGGCACUCUGAAAGAACUGCCAGUGAUAAGCUGGAGGAAGGUGGGGAUGACGUCAAGUCCUCAUGGCCCUUACGUGUUGGGCUACACACGUGCUACAAUGGUAUCUACAACAGGAAGCAAGACUGCGAAGUUAAGCAAAUCCCUAAAAGAUACCUCAGUUCGGAUUGCACUCUGCAACUCGAGUGCAUGAAGCUGGAAUUACUAGUAAUCGUGGAUCAGCGUGCCACGGUGAAUGCGUUCCCGGGUCUUGUACACACCGCCCGUCACACCAUGGGAGUUGGUUCUACCUUAAGGCAAGGUUUCAAACCCUUGACCACGGUAUAGUCAGCGACUGGGGUGAAGUCAUAACAAGGUAGCCGUA
rnacentral:rRNA from 1 species